rnacentral:rRNA from 1 species
AUGAAAAUUUCCAAAAGCAAAAAGUAUGCCAUGAGAAUUUGGUUAUCUGAUUUUUUCUUCUGCAGGGGUGUACAAGACGGCCGAGCUGUGGCAGGUGAAGGAGCCGCUGCCGCUGCCCGCGCCGAAGAAGCGCAACUGCUCCAUGGUGUUCACCCUCAACGAGAUGGAGGAGGCCACCGGCAUGUUCAGCGACAAGAACCUCAUAGGCAAGGGCGGCUUCGGCUGUGUUUACAGGGGCGUGCUCAAAGAUGA